AUUUCGUGAUGAGGGCAUCUUUGUAAUAUUUCUUUAAACCUUUCUUGUGCCUCAAACAAGGACUCGUCAUUCAUCUGUUAGAAGGUAGUGAUCUCGCUCCUCAACUU
rfam:Gossypium hirsutum cultivar TM-1 chromosome 7, whole genome shotgun sequence